UAGAGUUGCAGUGGGUUUCCCUUUAUCAAUGUUGUCAGUGCUUCACUUCACUUAGCAGAUAUUCAUUAUGUUUCAGGUAAACGCUGCGUAGAGCUCAAGCCAUACCAUGAAGCAAAGCAAAAGACAGCUUGAGGCUUUUUAUAUAAGAUCUGUCUUACUGAAUAUUUUGGUUUCGGGUGACGCUGGCGUACACGCAUCCCAUAAGCAGGUUCAAAUCCUUGUGUUUCUGUGUCUGUGAAUCAACCGAGUGUAGCGUGGGCAUCCGCUCUUCCUGCAGGUUUGUGGCACCGUGGCACGGGGUCGAUGGCUUCCAGUGGAAAUCUCUGGGUUGCCUGUAAAUAGACAUUGGCGUCUAUCACGUUAGAGUGUGUUCAUCUGGACUAGUUUCUGGGUUCAGAUGCUGCUCGUUGACGAUAAAGCUGCUGCCUGCAGUGCUUGCGAGGAAGGAGUUUGCUGCCCUGUCUGUAAGCUGAGGGCGGUGUUAGGUGCUGGUUUGCUGUCCUCCUGCUCCCUGGAGGAGGUUGCAUUCCCAGUCCAUUGAAAUGGAGACAGGGGCGGUUCUCCUGUGUUUGUUUGUUUGGUUUUUUCCCCAGCGAAGAUUACAACAGAAACGUUUUAUCUAUAAAUCGGGGUUUGUGCAAGCGGUCUUAUAAGGUUAAUUAUGGUAUUAGAGUAAACGAAACGGCACCUGUUGUGUUCUGAUGGCAGCGUACAAAACACCAGGCUGUCCUUCCCUAUAAACCUUGUGAUAAACGAGCACCUCGACUUUUUAGUGCUUCCUGUUGGUUGUUGAUAACCUGUGAAAUAGUGUUUGUGGUGUGAGCCGGAUUAACCUGGAGGAAGGGUGACAAAUGGGUAAAGCACGCAGAGUCGGUGUUUCACCUUGCAUUCCUCAGCCAGGCAGUCGUAUUUUAAGGACUCCGCAGGUGUUACGAGCUUAUUCCCCACCGCCAGAGAACUGGUGAGACUACCACGCACUCAAACGUGGAUGCCGCAGAAGGCAAGCAAUUCCUGUGCUAAUUACAUCUUUAGAGCUAGCCAUAAGUGCAGUACGAGGUUACCUUUCUGCUCCGGUUUCACGUUUUAUCUUCACGAAGCCAACAAAAGAUCAGAAGCGCUCACUGCGAAUAGUUCUGCCCUGGCUUUUAGCGGCAGAGGAAACGUUAUUGCAUUUCGUUCCUGGUGACUUUGAAGCUGAAACAAGAAAGCCACCAAGAAAACAACAGAAAGCCACCACCCCGAUGAAGUCGCCUGGUCCUGGGAGCUGAGCAGCGCACGCAGCACUGACCACGAGGCAGGUUAAUGUCCAGUUAAUUUCUCUGAAGCCCCAAGAGCAGCCGUGCUGGUUCCCAGUGACUGCCAACCCCGAUGUCCUGUCUCUGAGGGGACCUUUCUGAAGCUGCCCUGCACCCAGUAGUAGGACCAGGAGGAAUCUGGUGCAGGUUUUAUUCGACCUGGCUUAUAGCACCAGGUCCACAUCUUUGUUUCAGUAGGAUUCGGGAUCAAAUAGUAUUCAAAAGGGCUGAAAAAAUGGUCAACCAUCAGAAAUAAGAGUUUCUUAAAUUGAAAUCUGGUGGAAAAAAGUUGUAUGGAAAUGAAGGCUUUUGAUGACUUGGCAAGUGCUUUCCCUUAAUUUAUCUUAUAGAAUGUGGCAACAAGUCAAGUAUGUAAAGAGGAAGGUAUAGAAGGCCAAAUAAGUCACAACAGACAUUUCGGCUACUCCGGCUGUUGGACUAGGAGCCGUUAUGCUGCGGUCCCAACCACCAAUUUAAUAAAUUGCAGACAAACUUA